rnacentral:rRNA from 1 species
CCUACGGGUGGCAGCAGUGAGGAAUAUUGGUCAAUGGACGAGAGUCUGAACCAGCCAAGUAGCGUGAAGGAUGACUGCCCUAUGGGUUGUAAACUUCUUUUAUAUGGGAAUAAAAUGUUCCACGUGUGGGAUUUUGUAUGUACCAUAUGAAUAAGGAUCGGCUAACUCCGUGCCAGCAGCCGCGGUAAUACGGAGGAUCCGAGCGUUAUCCGGAUUUAUUGGGUUUAAAGGGAGCGUAGGUGGAUUGUUAAGUCAGUUGUGAAAGUUUGCGGCUCAACCGUAAAAUUGCAGUUGAAACUGGCAGUCUUGAGUACAGUAGAGGUGGGCGGAAUUCGUGGUGUAGCGGUGAAAUGCGUAGAUAUCACGAAGAACGCCGAUUGCGAAGGCAGUUCACUGGACUGCAACUGACACUGAGGCUCGAAAGUGUGGGUAUCAAACAGGAUUAGAUACCCCAGUAGUC